UCAAGAUUAACGGCUGCCCGAUCGAGUUAGUCGAGCCGGAGAUCCUCCGCUUCAAGGCAUACGAGCCAAUUCUCUUGCUCGGGCGACACCGAUUCGCCGGCGUGGACAUGAGAAUCCGCGUGAAGGGCGGGGGACACACGUCGCAGAUCUACGCCAUCCGUCAGAGCAUCGCCAAGGCUCUCGUGGCUUUCUACCAGAAGUAUGUUGACGAGCAGAGCAAGAAGGAGAUUAAGGACAUUCUCGUUAGGUACGACAGGACCCUGCUUGUGGCAGACCCACGCCGGUGCGAGCCCAAGAAGUUCGGUGGACGUGGCGCUAGGGCUCGGUUCCAGAAGAGUUACCGUUGAGCGGGAAUGCAAGGAAGCGAAACGAAACG
rnacentral:lncRNA from 1 species